UGUGGCGACGCAGCUGUAGCGCGGCAACCACAUAGAGCAACACUUGUGUACAACGGGAGGAAUACAAACAAUUUACAAUGGAAAAUGAGCACAACGUUGAGGAAAACAUGUGCAAAUCGCGAUCACAACGCGUAUGUCAAAAUUUGGUAUUUACUUAUAACUUUUAUAAACCUGAAAAGUUUGUUUACCAACGCGCUAUACAAACAACGGGUUCGAGUUGAAAUUAACACAGAUGAGACAGCUAGUAUCGUAAAUUAAGUGAGCUGGUCAGUAAGUCAAUGUCUUGUGAACGAUGCCGGGUGACGUCACCUCUUCUACACGAAGCAUAUGAGAGCUGUACCGUUUUAGGAAAGUCCUGGAUUCGAUUGUUCUGAUUAGAACAUGAUCACAUAAUAUAGUUGCUAUGAGCUGCACAGUGUAUCAGAUUUACAGGUAAUUUCGAGUGCUUUACCUAAACAAUUAAGAAAUGUACGCGAAACCAAUUAGGAAAGACCCGUGCCUUCAAUUAUAAUUAGUGAUUUGGAGUACCGAUUACUAACUUUGUCAAAUGUGUUGAAGAUUUAAUCGUGUUAUUGAGAUGGUAUCAAAACCCCUAUUUAAUUAUAUGAAGCCGGUUCGACAACUCCAUAACGUGAAUUUUAAAGAAAUAUAGUAUAUACCUUCUAUGUAUGAUAUCAAAGUAUCCUUAGGUAAGACAUAAUAGAUUAUUUUGUUGCCGACGUCCACCAGAGUCGAGUAUUUAGUUAAGAUUCUUAAACGAUUAGGUUCCAUUAUUAUUUUACUCGAGCACUUGCAUCAGCUAUAUUUUCCCAUAAUAAAUAACAUUCAGAAAAUAUGCGUCUCAUAGACGCAAUUUUAAAAGCAUUUACCGUUUUUAUUAACAAUUGCUCAGUAUAGUGUUCUCAAUAUUUUAGAGACUAUGACACAAAUUUAAAUUAAAAGCAUUUUUAAUAAUCGGAAUUAAUUGCGAUUACAUGCGGACCUUUAAAGGAUCGUUAAUGUCGACCCGCUAAAAUGAUUGUACGUAAGUUUUUUAUUAAUCAUAAUUUAUAAAAUACAUUAUUAAAAACAAGACCGGAAAAUAUUAUUAAUGAAACAAUGUUAACAUCACUUAAUUUAACUUGUAUUCGAACAAUACAUGAAAACAAUUUACGACAUAUUUUAUUUGUAUGAGAUUAGACGUUUCUUGGUAUUGAUUAAUAGUUAGUAACAAAUUAUCUGUCUUUCAACCGUAGACUCUUAGCUCACUGAUGCGUCACCGACCCUCAAGUUUGUAUUAUUAAUAAGAUGAACGUCUUUUUUCCUAUUUAUUAGAAUCUGAGUAUAAAGUCAAUCGAGACUAAUAAUUACUGGCUUAUUUUUACGGAAACAGAUACUAAUUUGAGCUUACAAUAUCAAUAGUUAUAUAUACAUGUAGUAUAUUUUAAAUAAUAAUUUUAGUAGAGAUUCUUGGGCAGUGGGUUCAAGUGCACAGGCGCUAAUGUUAGGUAAGUUGCCGCCUGUUAGAUAGUACUGGUGACCCCAGAGCUGGUGCUUUCCUCGCUCAACGAAUAAGUAUCGCAAUACAGCGAGGAAGUGCUGC